ACAGGUACAAAGAAAAACGAGUGAGCAGGAAAUUCAAAAUGCAGGAAAAAUAUUGAGUUCACUUGGUUCGUAGUCGCAACAUUAGCGAUACAACUUUGUCCAAAAAAAAAACAUUUGCAAUAUAUAAUUCGGAAACCAUUGCAAACUCGAGAAUAAGAUUAGAUGAAGAGAUUGUUUUCUGACUCCAUUGAUUAUAUGUAGCCUUUUGAAUUGAAAUCCAAGCUUCUUCUUCCAUCGCCGCAUAAUCAAAGACAAGAACAAAAUAAAAAAUCAUAAAAAUGACCAAGGCAAAGCAGAGAACAUAAUAAAAUGAGAAAACUAAAAUUCAUAGUAAAUGAAAAGAAAAUCAGUUGGAUUUGAAGUGAAAAGCCCGCUGAUCCAUCAUCGCCGGCAACAGCAAGCUCCGGCGGCAGGCAGUCUUCAUCGCAGUGGAAGCAGAGAAAAGACGACGACGGGGGUAGAGGGAAGAAGACGGAGCCACCAGCACCCGACAUAAGGAGGGCGGCGUCCAAUGCCCCAACCCUCACCCACGCCGCCCCUUCACCGCCCCCGACUGCUCAGAUAAGAUCAAGUAGAUUGUGCCCUAGCUGCACUGCUGCCCUUGCUUAUAUAGAGCUCCCGAUUACACGUCAUCGUCUCUUUGUGGAUUUACUUAAACACCCUUUUAUACACAACCGCAUCAUCCUACCAAAAUCAAUUUGCUUUCCCCAGAAAACCUUAACCCUAGGCUACUCCCACGACUCCAAUCCAAUUGCUCCAACAUCCUCUCCCUCCCUCCCUCCCUCUCUCUCUCAGGUUUCUGUACAUUGGAAUGCUAAUUUUGUUUCUAAAAGCUUGAUUGAAUAGGAAGACAUCAUUUUUCAAUAAGGUCGUAGAUUAUGGCAGAGCCCUCAAAAGUCAUUCAUGUUCGUAACGUGGGUCAUGAAAUUGCUGAGAGUGACUUGUUGCAGCUGUUCCAGCCAUUUGGGGUUAUCGCCAAACUUGUGAUGCUUCGAGCCAAGAAUCAGGCCCUCCUACAAAUGCAAGAUGUUCCUUCUGCAGUAAAUGCAUUGCAGUUCUACAGUAAUGUCCAACCAAGCAUAAGGGGCAGGAAUGUUUAUAUCCAAUUCUCAUCACACCAGGAACUAACGAUUAUGGAUCAAAGUUCGCAAGCACAUGCAGACGAGCCUAACCGAAUCCUCUUAGUUACGAUACAUCACAUGCUAUAUCCUAUUACUGUGGAAGUGCUGCAUCAAGUUUUUUCUCCCCAUGGAUUUGUAGAGAAGAUCGUCACGUUUCAGAAGUCGGCUGGUUUUCAAGCUCUAAUACAGUAUCAAUCGCAUCAAAGUGCUAUCUUAGCUAGGAACUCCCUUCAGGGACGAAAUAUAUAUGACGGUUGCUGUCAGCUAGACAUCCAGUUCUCAAACCUUGAUGAAUUGCAAGUGAAUUAUAAUAAUGAGCGUUCUAGGGAUUUCACAAACCCUUCCUUGCCUUCGGAACAAAAGGGCAAAUCCUCUCAACUUGGAUACGGAGAUCCAAGCAUAUAUCCCCAUGCAGUCGGAUUUGCACAGUUGGGCAAUGCUGCGGCAAUUGCUGCUGCCUUUGGAGGGGGUCUCCCACCCGGUAUAAGCGGUACAAAUGAGCGGUGCACAGUUCUUGUAUCUAAUCUGAAUGCUGAUAGAAUAGAUGAGGAUAAGCUGUUUAAUUUGUUCUCGAUAUAUGGGAACAUUAUUAGAAUCAAACUUCUCCGAAACAAACCAGAUCAUGCAUUGGUACAAUUGGGUGAUGGUUUUCAGGCUGAACUGGCUGUUCAUUUUUUGAAGGGGGCUAUGCUGUUUGGAAAGCGCUUGGAGGUUAACUUUUCAAAGCAUCCAAACAUUACAACUGGAGCUGAUACGCAUGAGUACUCCAACUCAAAUCUCAAUCGUUUCAAUCGAAAUGCAGCCAAAAAUUACAGGUAUUGUUGCUCACCAACAAAAAUGAUCCACAUCUCAACUCUCCCCCAGGAUGUAACUGAAGAAGAAAUAGUAAAUCAUUUGGAAGAGCAUGGAACAAUUGCUAGUACAAAACUGUUUGAGAUGAAUGGAAAGAAGCAGGUUCUUGUCCUUUUUGAAAAUGAGGAGCAGGCUACAGAAGCUCUUGUGUGCAAGCAUGCCACUUCCCUUGGUGGUUCAACCAUUCGAAUUUCCUUCUCUCAGUUGCAAACCAUUUGAGAAACUUCAUUGCAAAUUAGAGAGAUGGACCCAUAGACUCCAAGUUGAGUGUGAUGCAUAUAUACGAGGGAGAUUUAGGGUGUUAGGUGUAAAGAAGUAAAAAGGUGGGAGCCGCCCCAAUUGAAAUAUUGCACCCCUCUCCCCCUCUCUUGUUUCCUUUGUUGUUUCUUUACUUGCAAUGGACUAAAACUGUAGACUAUAAAUUUGAAGUGAUUUUACAGUGGGUUGUGCAACUUUCUUUUAUUCCCAAGUUGGAUGGAUGUCUUCUAUCAAA